GUAAUGAACUUAUCCAUACAAGGCUGAACGCUAUGCUACAGGAGGAGUUCUGAAUCACCUUCUGUAAUUGGUCCUGAAGUCAAAACCUACUUCACUGAAUGUGAAGCUGAAGGGAAACCAAAAAACGUAGACUAGGAUCUCAGCUUAAUGUGGGAAACUACGAAGAAAUCCUCUGUGUGUUCUCCUGAAUCAUAAAGGCGGGUGAGAAUGAGAAGCCUAACUCAUCAUUAAUCCACAGGCAAAGUACUAUUCAAGCAGCUGCAGUGAAAGCUCUCGUACGCUGCCCUGGAAAUAACCCCAGUCUUGACGUGGUAAAAUGACCCUAGGACACAAAAUGAACUUUUAUGAUAGAAUCAAGGGCAUGGAAAUAACAAAAACUGCAGACAGAAUCGACUUGCAAUGUUCAGUAAGGUAAGAAGAUAACAUCAUAACACUUUGGAGCAGACAGCUUC
rnacentral:lncRNA from 1 species